UGGGGAAUAUUGCACAAUGGGCGGAAGCCUGAUGCAGCGACGCCGCGUGGGGGAUGAAGGCCUUCGGGUUGUAAACUCCUUUCGACAGGGACGAAGCUUUUGUGACGGUACCUGUAUAAGAAGCACCGGCUAACUACGUGCCAGCAGCCGCGGUAAUACGUAGGGUGCGAGCGUUGUCCGGAAUUACUGGGCGUAAAGAGCUCGUAGGUGGUUUGUCGCGUCGUCUGUGAGAUUCCGGGGCUUAACUCCGGGCGUGCAGGCGAUACGGGCUGACUUGAGUGCUGUAGGGGAGACUGGAAUUCCUGGUGUAGCGGUGAAAUGCGCAGAUAUCAGGAGGAACACCGAUGGCGAAGGCAGGUCUCUGGGCAGUAACUGACGCUGAGGAGCGAAAGCAUGGGUAGCGAACAGG
rnacentral:rRNA from 1 species